rnacentral:tRNA from 1 species
GCUCUCCUAGUAUAUUCAUUACAAUGGACUUCCAAUCCCUAAAAUCUGGUUUAACCCCAGAGGAGAGCA